rnacentral:rRNA from 1 species
AUUGAACGCUGGCGGCAUGCCUUACACAUGCAAGUCGAACGGCAGCACGGGAGCAAUCCUGGUGGCGAGUGGCGAACGGGUGAGUAAAGUAUCGGAACGUGCCCAGUCGUGGGGGAUAACGUAGCGAAAGUUACGCUAAUACCGCAUACGAUCUAUGGAUGAAAGCGGGGGAUCGCAAGACCUCGCGCGAUCGGAGCGGCCGAUAUCAGAUUAGGUAGUUGGUGGGGUAAAGGCUCACCAAGCCGACGAUCUGUAGCUGGUCUGAGAGGACGACCAGCCAAACUGGGACUGAGACACGGCCCAGACUCCUACGGGAGGCAGCAGUGGGGAACUUUGGACAAUGGGCGAAAGCCUGAUCCAGCCAUGCCGCGUGCAGGAUGAAGGCCUUCGGGUUGUAAACUGCUUUUGUACGGAACGAAAAGGUUUGGCCUAAUAAGCUGAGCUCAUGACGGUACCGUAAGAAUAAGCACCGGCUAACUACGUGCCAGCCGCCGCCGUAA